rnacentral:rRNA from 1 species
GACGAACGCUGGCGGCGUGCUUAACACAUGCAAGUCGAACGGUGACGAGGAGCUUGCUCCUCUGAUCAGUGGCGAACGGGUGAGUAACACGUGAGCAACCUGCCCCAGACUCUGGGAUAACAGUUGGAAACAGCUGCUAAUACCGGAUACGAGACGGAGAGGCAUCUCUACCGUCUGGAAAGUUUUUCGGUCUGGGAUGGACUCGCGGCCUAUCAGCUAGUUGGUGGGGUAAAGGCCUACCAAGGCUACGAUCUGUAGUUGGUCUGAGAGGACGACCAGCCACACUGGGACUGAGACACGGCCCAGACUCCUACGGGAGGCAGCAGUGGGGAAUUUUGGACAAUGGGCGCAAGCCUGAUCCAGCAAUGCCGCGUGCAGGAAGAAGGCCUUCGGGUUGUAAACUGCUUUUGUCAGGGAAGAAAUCUUCUGGGCUAAUACCCCGGGAGGAUGACGGUACCUGAAGAAUAAGCACCGGCUAACUACGUG